AUUGUAGCUCUGAUGACCUUACUCCAUGAAUGAAAACCCUUGGAUCCGACGGAUUGGAUUGUCACUCAUGAAACCUCAUCUUCUCCUAGCCUGACGCUGACCUCAGUGCUCCAAUGGACGGUUGGGGAUCCCUGAUGUAUGGAAGACCUUAAAGCACUCAGGAAGAUAGGCCCCCCCCAUAUUCAAAAGCAACCCCCUACUCCUUCUUGCUUAGAACAUGAGGCCCUGUUCUCACGCAGGCCUGGGGAGAAAAGGGAAUGUCCCCAGAACCACCCCGCAUCUUCAUAACAGAUUAAGGUCUCCCUUUCUUCUUGUCCUUUUUACUUUUCUUCCUGAAGAAAACUUAGUCAUUUUCCACCCUCCUCUUGAGUCUAGCCCCUAUGUGGAGAUCUAAGAGCUAGGAGUACCACACGGAUCAUCCAAUCUGACCCCAAAUCUAUCAUUCCCUCCAGCGGAUUCACCUCCUUCAAACAGCUGGACAGACUCCUGGACACAUGGCUCCCUUUGUUGGUUUCUCCCCAAAUGCACUUAAUCUUCACACACGUCGGGCAGAAGAAUCAAUACUGACUUACCAUCUUCCUCUUCCCUCCUGGACAACUUCUCCAUGAGCAUCCAUGACGGUGGACCAUUCAUUAACAAACUCAAAUGGACAAAGAAUUCCAGGAGUCAAGAGCCCUGAAUUCCAGGUCUGGCUCUGCCACUUACGACUCACCCAUGACUUUAACCAAACUCUUUCACCUCUCUGAGCUCUAACUUCUUAAGUGUGACAAACGCAAGUAAUAAUCCUAAACUGAAGGCUGUUACCAGAUACAGUAGGAUCACUACUUAAACUGGAUACAGUAUCAUCAGCAUUUGCCCAACAUGGGCAAAACCAAGCUCCAGAAUAAAGGUGCUGAUGGUCUAUUUCCUAAA